rnacentral:rRNA from 1 species
AUUGAACGCUGGCGGCAUGCCUUACACAUGCAAGUCGAACGGCAGCACGGGUGCUUGCACCUGGUGGCGAGUGGCGAACGGGUGAGUAAUACAUCGGAACAUGUCCUGUAGUGGGGGAUAGCCCGGCGAAAGCCGGAUUAAUACCGCAUACGAUCUACGGAUGAAAGCGGGGGACCUUCGGGCCUCGCGCUAUAGGGUUGGCCGAUGGCUGAUUAGCUAGUUGGUGGGGUAAAGGCCUACCAAGGCGACGAUCAGUAGAUGGUCUGAGAGGACGACCAGCCACACUGGGACUGAGACACGGCCCAGACUCCUACGGGAGGCAGCAGUGGGGAAUUUUGGACAAUGGGCGAAAGCCUGAUCCAGCAAUGCCGCGUGUGAAGAAGGCCUUCGGGUUGUAAAGCACUUUUGUCCGGAAAGAAAUCCUUGGCUCUAAUACAGUCGGGGGAUGACGGUACCGGAAGAAUAAGCACCGGCUAACUACGUG